CUCUUAUUCAGAGUGAUGGAGUUACAUAGGAACUGUGAAGUCACGGCAACCCCGCUUUGCGGAAGGUGCCAACCUGAGCGAAUUAAUCGAACAAUAAGAG
rnacentral:ncRNA from 2 species